rnacentral:rRNA from 1 species
AGUAGGUGNAGGAGAGGACACCAAAGAGGAUACCCAGAGUAAUGGCGAGUGAGUGGGGAAAAGCACAAGAUUCCAAUUGAUCGUUGCAUCAACUUGUAACUCCAAGACGUUAGCCAUCGGUGGGCACAGAUGGAAGCUUCUUGGAAAAGAGCACCUGCGAGGGUUAGGGUCCUGCUCGCCAUCUGCUGCCCCUCGUGCACGGUUGUCGUUCACAGAGUCGCGCCCCUUGGGAUGGGAGCGCAACAUGGUGGUACUCUUCACCAAAGGCUAAACACAUGCCCAAGACCGAUAGUAAACAAGUACCAUGAGGGAAAGGUGAAAAGGACUUUGGGAAGAAAGGUAAAAGUGCAUGAGUUCGCUGGGUGUGAAGUGAAUUGAGGGAGUGUGAGUGGUUGGGAUUGCGCUCUUUGCGUGUUCAACUUCACGUCACUGUCAAGUGUCGCGUGCAAGUUUGGGCGCGUGAGUAGCGUGUUUCCUGCCAGAGUUGUUGGCCUCUGUUUGUGGCGUGGGACUAGACGGUGUCGUGCAGUGUCGUUGCGUAUGACUCCCAGGUCAGUUAGCCUGCUUGGCCGCAAACAGGGUAGAACGCAAGUAUUGCGUGACAUUCCGCAAGGAACUGUCUUGCAUUCUUGCAGAGCCUGACCAAAGAGCUUGAUUCGCCCCGUCUUGAAACACGGGCCAAGGAGUCUAACACAUGUGCAAGUUCCUGAUUCUACCAUUCGCCGGCGGAAGGAAAGUGAGUGCUUGGAUACCUGCACCAGCAACCAACUGACCGUUUGAGUGGUGUUGGUGGGAGAGCAUACGUGUUAGAACCCGAAAGGUGGUGAACUAUGCCUGAGAUUUGCAAAGUCAGGGGAAACUCUGAUGGAAGCUCGGAGCGAUGUUGACGUGCAAAUCAUUCGUCUGACUUGGGUAUAGGGGCGAAAGACUAAUCGAACCACCUAGUAGCUGGUUCCCUCCGAAGUUUCCCUCAGGAUAGCUGGAGCUAGGCAGUUUUAUCAUGUAAAGCCAAUGAUUAGAGGCAUUGGGGGCAGCUUUGCCCUUGACCUAUUCUCAAACUUUUAAUGGGUAAGCUCCAAGGGUUUCUUUACUGAACCCGUGGGAGGAAUGGCAGCUCCAAGUGGGCCAUUUUUGGUAAGCAGAACUGGCGAUGAGGGAUGAGCCUAACAUUGGGUUAUUGUGCUAGACUGCUCGCUCAUGGGAUGCCACAAAGGGUGUUGGUUCAUACAAACAGCAGGACGGUGGUCAUGGAAGUUGAAAUCCGCUAAGGAGUGUGUAACAACUCACCUGCCGAAUGGACUAGCCCCGAAAAUGGAUGGCGCUUAAACGAGUGAUUGAUACCCAAUCAUUGCAGCAAGCCUCGCUAAUGAGUAGGAGGGCAUAGUGGUUGCCAAUCAGCCCUUGCGUGAGCGAUG